rnacentral:rRNA from 1 species
CCUACGGGAGGCUGCAGUGGGGAAUAUUGGACAAUGGGGGGAACCCUGAUCCAGCCAUGCCGCGUGUGUGAAGAAGGCCCUCGGGUUGUAAAGCACUUUCAGUGAGGAAGAACGCCUGGUGGUUAAUACCCAUCAGGAAAGACAUCACUCACAGAAGAAGCACCGGCUAACUCCGUGCCAGCAGCCGCGGUAAUACGGAGGGUGCGAGCGUUAAUCGGAAUUACUGGGCGUAAAGUGCGCGUAGGUGGCUUGAUAAGCCGGUUGUGAAAGCCCCGGGCUCAACCUGGGAACGGCAUCCGGAACUGUCAAGCUAGAGUGCAGGAGAGGAAGGUAGAAUUCCCGGUGUAGCGGUGAAAUGCGUAGAGAUCGGGAGGAAUACCAGUGGCGAAGGCGGCCUUCUGGACUGACACUGACACUGAGGUGCGAAAGCGUGGGUAGCAAACAGGAUUAGAUACCCUAGUAGUC